AAGCUUGCUUCAUUGAUGGCGACCGGCGCACGGGUGAGUAACACGUAUCCAACCUUCCGCUGACUCGGGGAUAGCCUUUCGAAAGAAAGAUUAAUACCCGAUAGCAAAGGACUUCCGCAUGGAUAUCCUUUUAAAGGAUUCCGGUCAGCGAUGGGGAUGCGUUCCAUUAGAUAGUUGGCGGGGUAACGGCCCACCAAGUCAACGAUGGAUAGGGGUUCUGAGAGGAAGGUCCCCCACAUUGGAACUGAGACACGGUCCAAACUCCUACGGGAGGCAGCGGUGAGGAAUAUUGGUCAAUGGGCGAGAGCCUGAACCAGCCAAGUAGCGUGAAGGAAGACUGCCCUAUGGGUUGUAAACUUCUUUUAUACUGGAAUAAAGUCAUCCACGUGUGGAUGUUUGUAUGUACCGUAUGAAUAAGGAUCGGCUAACUCCGUGCCAGCAGCCGCGGUAAUACGGAGGAUCCGAGCGUUAUCCGGAUUUAUUGGGUUUAAAGGGAGCGUAGGCG
rnacentral:rRNA from 1 species